rnacentral:sRNA from 1 species
AUUCUGCCCAUGCGGGGAAGGAUGAGAAGCUUCGACCAAGGUUCGACUCGAGCGCCAGCGAGAGAGCGUUGCCGCAGGCAACGAUCCGAAGGGCGAAGCGCGCAGCGCUGAGUAAUCCUUCCCCCACCACCA